rnacentral:tRNA from 1 species
GGCCCGGUAGCUCAGUUGGUAGAGCACGUGACUGAAAAUCAAGGUGUCGGCAGUUCGAUUCUGUCCUGGGCCACCA